AUUUUUUUUAUUGGGUGUAAAAAGCAAUUCCUCUUCCUUACCCUGAUUAACAAUCAGGAACCCCAGCUAUGCCCCACGAGUCUGCCCUCACCAGUAUGUACUGAGAUGCACCUAUAUAUUGCAGGCUGAGAUCUGCUGAUCUCCAACUUGGCAACUAUUUUCAACAUUUCAACAACACAUUAAACAGUGAUCCAACAACAUCCUUACAGUUGUCCUCU